rnacentral:rRNA from 1 species
CAAGCCUGAUCCAGCCAUGCCGCGUGGGUGAAGAAGGCCUUCGGGUUGUAAAGCCCUUUUGUUGGGAAAGAAAAGCAGCCGGCCAAUACCCGGUUGUUCUGACGGUACCCAAAGAAUAAGCACCGGCUAACUUCGUGCCAGCAGCCGCGGUAAUACGAAGGGUGCAAGCGUUACUCGGAAUUACUGGGCGUAAAGCGUGCGUAGGUGGUGGUUUAAGUCAGGGGUGAAAUCCUGGGGCUCAACCUCAGAACUGCCCUUGAUACUGGCGAUCUCGAGUUCGAGAGAGGUUGGUGGAACUCCGAGUGUAGAGGUGAAAUUCGUAGAUAUUCGGAAGAACACCAGUGGCGAAGGCGGCCAACUGGCUCGAUACUGACGCUGAGGUGCGAAAGCGUGGGGAGCAAACA